UUCAAGAAAAAUGCAGGUCACUGCAGCUCAGCUCAGCUUUGUGAUGUCUGGCUUGUACUCAAAGAUUGAUGAACUCUUCAACAGAAUAGAGCCAUGCACAGGGAAUGGCUUAACAUGAAAUCAAGACAACAGUGGGUGUGGAGCUUACCCAAGGAACACCAUGGGGAACUACCUAUUACUGGAAACCAUCUCUUGAACUAGAACUGAAGCUUGAAAUGUUUUUUGCUGAACACCUGCAGAAUCCUUCCCAGUCACUCUUUUCUCUUCAUCCCAACUGGUUGAUUUUCUUUCAGGUUUUCCAAAUGUAUCCUUUGCUUGCAUCCAGACAGUGUAUUUACUAGCCAGUAACUGAAUUUUACCAUAAAAAAAACAAAAUUUAAUGCCACUCCUUUUCUCAGUUUC